rnacentral:piRNA from 1 species
UCUCUUAACUGGUCUACCUUCUCGUCGA